rnacentral:misc_RNA from 1 species
GAUGAAGAACGCAGCGAAAUGCGAUAAGUAAUGUGAAUUGCAGAAUUCAGUGAAUCAUCGAAUCUUUGAACGCACAUUGCGCCCUCUGGUAUUCCGGGGGGCAUGCCUGUUCGAGCGUCAUUAUAACCACUCAAGCUCUCGCUUGGUAUUGGGGUUCGCGGUUUCGCGGCCCCUAAAAUCAGUUGCGGUGCCUGUCGGCUCUACGCGUAGUAAUACUCCUCGCGAUUGAGUCCGGUAGGUCUACUUGCCAGCAACCCCUAAUUUUUUUAAGGUUGACCUCGGAUCAGGUAGGGAUACCCGCUGAACUUAAGCAUAUCAAUAAGCGGAGGA